AAUGAACGUUGGCGGCGUGGAUUAGGCAUGCAAGUCGUGCGGUAAGGCCCUUCGGGGGUACACGAGCGGCAAAGGGAGAGUAACGCGUGGACAACUUACCCCCGGUCCGGGAUAGCUGCGGGAAACUGCAGGUAAUACCGGAUAACAUCUCCGGAUCAAAGGUGCGAUUCCGCCCGGGACGGGUCCGCGUCCUAUUAGCUUGUUGGUGAGGUAACGGCUCACCAAGGCGACGAUGGGUACCGGGCGUGAGAGCGUGGCCCGGCUCACUGGGACUGAGACACUGCCCAGACACCUACGGGUGGCUGCAGUCGAGAAUCUUCGGCAAUGGGCGCAAGCCUGACCGAGCGACGCCGCGUGUGGGAUGAAGGCCUUCGGGUUGUAAACCGCUGGCAGUUGGGAGGAAAUGCAUAGGGGUUCUCUCCUAUGUUUGACCUAUCUUCAGAGGAAGGACGGGCUAAGUUCGUG
rnacentral:rRNA from 1 species